AGUAUUACUUCGGUGUUUGUUGCUUACGUAGUAAAAUUAUUAUUUAAGUCUUGUAAACUUAAGUUUC
rnacentral:tRNA from 1 species